UCGGAGAGGCGGCGAACGCGCAAGACCGC
rnacentral:sRNA from 1 species